UACAUACAUAUAUACAUCAUCCGUUUGGCGCACAUCUUCUCUUUUCAUAUUGUUUUUAUAUUUUAGUAUUCUAUGUUAGUGUGACUUGGAAUUGGAUUACCGUUACAUUCUCGAGCUUCAUCCUCCUUUGAGAUGUUUCUUCCAGAUGGAGUAAUUUGUUUUUCUUGUGGCUGGAGAGGGGUAAUCUGAGCUUUGUUACUGAUCCGUUAUGUCAUGAAAUCUUUGUGAUAAUAUAGUCAUAGUCAUAGGCAGUGAGUGCUACUUUGCCUCGCAUAAUACAGCUCAUGUUUGUAAGAUAA
rnacentral:sRNA from 1 species